AUUGAACUGAAGAGUUUGAUCCUGGCUCAGAUUGAACGCUGGCGGCAUGCUUAAC
rnacentral:rRNA from 1 species